CAAUUCAAAUCUCAGUUGGUUUAAUAGAUAAUAUUUGGAAAUAAAUUGUAGUCGAUUAAAUGUUUGUAUAAUUAAGUUAUUUUAAAAAGAAACAGAUUCGAUUGAUGAGAAAGUUCAAAAUUGGCAGUGACAUUGACAGUGGUGCCAUAGAUGGUUCACUGACAAAAAUAGAAUCAUUGAUGACAGAAAUGAAAAUCGAAAUCGAGGAUAGCGAGAAAAAAAUGUUUGGACGUCAAGUAGAUAUUGAAGAAAGAGGAAUUGAGUUAAGAUCGAAAUUCGAAGAUUUGGAAACAGAUGAUUAAACGAUGACUUUACACUAAAGUGAUAAAUGACUUGAAUCAGUCCAAGUAUUCAAUAAUAAUUGAAAACUGCUGAUACUGGUAUUCUUUUGGAAGCUGAAAGCAAAGACGAUAGACUACAAGAAAAUCUAUAAGUGUUGUGGAUGAUCUUGCUGGAGCAGUUUGAUGAUAUAAAAACAAAUAAUAGACUUAUGGUUAUCCUGGUACUAAAUUAAUAAGGAAAGACUCAACGAUAGAAAAAGAACUGUGAACAAGAAUUAUAGAAAAAGAAAAGAGUGGAGCAAAACUACAGCGGGUGAGUCAGAGUAUCGCUAAUGAGGACCGUCAUUGGUCGGAGGUCAUUUUUAAAACCAGUUGAAACAAAAAUUCAGGAUAUGUACAGGAUGAUAACUCACCUUCUUUUGGAUUGUAUCAAAAAUCAAGGUUCUAUUUGUGUUAUCACCAUAUUCUUGUUCCACUGUCAUCUUAAUGGAUGUAUGGAUCUGAUUUUCAAG